UAAGCAUAUCAAUAAGCGGAGGAAAAGAAACCAACAGGGAUUGCCCCAGUAACGGCGAGUGAAGCGGCAACAGCUCAAAUUUGAAAUCUGGCCCCAGGCCCGAGUUGUAAUUUGCAGAGGAUGCUUCUGGCGACGUGCCUUCCGAGUUCCCUGGAACGGGACGCCAAAGAGGGUGAGAGCCCCGUCCGGUCGUGCACCUAGCCUCUGUGAAGCUCCUUCGACGAGUCGAGUAGUUUGGGAAUGCUGCUCUAAAUGGGAGGUAUACGUCUUCUAAAGCUAAAUACCGGCCAGAGACCGAUAGCGCACAAGUAGAGUGAUCGAAAGAUGAAAAGCACUUUGAAAAGAGGGUUAAAUAGUACGUGAAAUUGCUGAAAGGGAAGCGCUUAUGACCAGACUUGGGCCGGUGAAUCAUCCGUCGUUCUCGGCGGUGCACUUUGCCGGCUCAGGCCAGCAUCAGUUCGCGCCGGGGGAUAAAGGCUUCGGGAAAGUAGCUCCCUCGGGAGUGUUAUAGACCGUUGUGUAAUACCCUGGUGCGGACUGAGGUACGCGUUCUGCAAGGAUGCUGGCGUAAUGGUCAUCAGUGACCCGUCUUGAAACACGGACCAAGGAGUCGUCUUCGUAUGCGAGUGUUCGGGUGUAAAACCCCUACGCGUAAUGAAAGUGAACGUAGGAGAGAGCUUCGGCGCAUCUCCGACCGAUCCUGAUGUUCUCGGAUGGAUUUGAGUAAGAGCAUACGGGGCCGGACCCGAAAGAAGGUGAACUAUGCCUGUAUAGGGUGAAGCCAGGGGAAACUCUGGUGGAGGCUCGCAGCGGUUCUGACGUGCAAAUCGAUCGUCAAAUAUGGGCAUGGGGGCGAAAGACUAAUCGAACCUUUCUAGUAGCUGGGUUUCCGCCGAAG
rnacentral:rRNA from 1 species